CCUUGAUGGAAACGGCGGAUUACGUGGUACACAAAUGAAAAUUUCGAAAAAAAUACCAAAAGAAAAAAAAUUAAAAUAAAUAGAAAAAAAAAAUUAAUAUAAAAUAAUUUUAUUUUGAAAAAAAAAACUGUGUAUGUGUGUGUGUCUCUAUAAUAUAUUUUUGGUAUUUUAAAAAAAAAAUUUUUUUUUUUGGGUAAACUUAAAAGAAAAAAAAAACCAAAAGAUAAACGUAAACUUUAAAAUUAACAAGAAAAUUUAAAAUUUCCAAUAAAAGGUCCUCAGUGCGGCGCGCUAAUUUUUUUGUUCUUAGAAUUUUAUUUUUGUCUUGUUUUUAUUUUUUUUUAUUCAUUCUUGCCUACAUACAUAAAGUGUACUGAUUGCCUUAUUUUUGUUUUGUUUUUUUCUUUUUUUUUCUCUUUUACUCUGAAACGGAAUGCAAUGCAAUUAUAAAAGGCGGAUGUAUUUUCUUAUUAAGGCAGAGAGGCAGACAAUGCCUACUUAUUAUUAGAAUUUUAAUAGUAUAUUAAUUAUAAAAUUUAAAAUUAAAUUGUGUAUAUUAAAAAAUUAAAUAAAAAUUUUAUUAAUUGAAGAACGACAAAAGCACAAAAAAACCACACACAAAAAAAAAGUGAAGUUAUGAAAUAUUUGCGAGGAAUUCAUGAUGGAUGAAGAAAAUUCAAGGUCGGAGCUAUAGAGAGUCCAUCCUGGGCUUAGGCAAUUUAAGGAAUUUCAGGGAUAUUAUUACCAGAAGCGAUAUAGGAAAAUAAUGAAAAUGGAUAGGAACCAGUUCUAAAUAAAUUUGAAAAAUAAAA